GAUGAACGCUGGCGGCGUGCCUAAUACAUGCAAGUCGAGCGAAUGGAUUAAGAGCUUGCUCUUAUGAAGUUAGCGGCGGACGGGUGAGUAACACGUGGGUAACCUGCCCAUAAGACUGGGAUAACUCCGGGAAACCGGGGCUGAUACCGGAUAAUAUUUUGAACUGCAUGGUUCAAAAUUGAAAGGCGGCUUCGGCUGUCACUUAUGGAUGGACCCGGGUCGCAUUAGCUAGUUGGUGAGGUAACGGCUCACCAAGGCAACGAUGCGUAGCCAACCUGGGAGGGUGAUCGGGCACACUGGGACUGAGACACGGCCCAGAAUCCUACGAGAGGCAGCAGUAGGGAAUCUUCCGCAAUGGACGAAAGUCUGACGGAGCAACGCCGCGUGAGUGAUGAAGGCUUUCGGGUCGUAAAACUCUGUUGUUAGGGAAGAACAAGUGCUAGUUGAAUAAGCUGGCACCUUGACGGUACCUAACCAGAAAGCCACGGCUAACUACGUGCCAGCCGCCGCCGUAA
rnacentral:rRNA from 1 species